GAGUGGCGAACGGGAGAGUAACGCGUGAGGAACCUGCCUCAAAGAGGGGGACAACANUUGGAAACGACUGCUAAUACCGCAUAAGCCCACGACCCGGCAUCGGGUAGAGGGAUAAGGAGCAAUCCGCUUUGAGAUGGCCUCGCGUCCGAUUAGCUAGUUGGUGAGGUAACGGCCCACCAAGGCGACGAUCGGUAGCCGGACUGAGAGGUUGAACGGCCACAUUGGGACUGAGACACGGCCCAGACUCCUACGGGAGGCAGCAGUGGGGAAUAUUGCACAAUGGGGGAAACCCUGAUGCAGCGACGCCGCGUGGAGGAAGAAGGUCUUCGGAUUGUAAACUCCUGUUGUUGAGGAAGAUAAUGACGGUACUCAACAAGGAAGUGACGGCUAACUACGUGCCAGCAGCCGCGGUAAAACGUAGGUCACAAGCGUUGUCCGGAAUUACUGGGUGUAAAGGGAGCGCAGGNNGGAAGACAAGUUGGAAGUGAAAUCCAUGGNNUCAACCCAUGAACUGCUUUCAAAACUGUUUUUCUUGAGUAGUGCAGAGGUAGGCGGAAUUCCCGGUGUAGCGGUGNAAUGCGUAGAUAUCGGGAGGAACACCAGUGNCGAAGGCGGCCUACUGCGCU
rnacentral:rRNA from 1 species